rnacentral:sRNA from 2 species
GCUUGGGGGUUGGGGGAGGACGGGCCGAAAUUUACGCAUCUGCAAGCCUUGGGACAAGGAUUGAAAGAGAUUGGGAUUGUGAAGUGAUAUCGGGAUGUGAUUGGGAUAGAUAGGUGUGGGGAAUGAGAGGGCGGUUGUGUUGCGCGCAAUGUGGUUUUGUUUUGUUUUUCUACUUCCUCUCAUCGUCAUGUAUGCAAUGCAGUAUGAUGGGUGGGUGAAAGAACGUCCGAGGAUGACAGUUCGGAGCUCCGUCAGGAUAUAAGCUAGGGUGGCACAACUGCAAUUGUGUUUCUCUGGAUGUAUAUAUAUAUAUAUAUACAUAUCACAUCGCAAUUAGAAAGAUAAAUGUAAACGAAGAAGGUGA